UGUUAAUUGGUAUGCACUUUUCUCAUAGUAAGACAUUGCAAUCCAUUAGUAUUAUUUAUCAAACGGCCCAUUUGUAUUGUUUAUUCUAGCUGUAAUAAUUUUCACUAAUUAUUAUAUGAAUAAAUGCAAAAACGGUGACCUGAUAAAUAACUGAUGGAGUUUAAUAAUCAUGCAGAUACAUAUCAUAUUUGUAAUUACGAUUUAUAAGUAAUAUUAUAAAUGCAGGUAAUAGCAUGUAUUUGAUUAGCAAUGCGAUAGAUUUGGGAUACCUUCGGGACCCGUCUUGAAACACGGACCAAGAAGUCUAACAUGUGUGCAAGUCAUUGGGUAUAUUUGAAACCUAAAGGCGCAAUUAAAAUAACUAUAAUGGGAUUACAAGUAAAUUAUAUAUAAGUUACUUCUCCAUCCCGGGGCGUUCUAUAUUGAACAUG
rnacentral:rRNA from 1 species